UACGGGGGGGGCAAGCGUUGUUCGGAAUUACUGGGCGUAAAGGGCUCGUAGGCGGCCAACUAAGUCGGAUGUGAAAUCCCCAGGCUCAACUUGGGAACUGCAUCCGAUACUGGAUGGCUUGAAUUCGGGAGAGGGAUGCAGAAUUCCAGGUGUAGCGGUGAAAUGCGUAGAUAUCUGGAGGAACACCGGUGGCGAAGGCGGCAUCCUGGGUCGGUAUUGACGCUGAGGAGCGAAAGCCAGGGGAGCAAACGGG
rnacentral:rRNA from 1 species